rnacentral:rRNA from 1 species
CAAGUCGAACGAGAAAGUGGAGCAAUCCAUGAGUAAAGUGGCGACCGGGUGAGUAACACGUGACUAACCUACCUCCGAGUGGGGAAUAACUCCGGGAAACCGGGGCUAAUACCGCAUAACAUCGCAAGAUCAAAGCAGCAAUGCGCUUGGAGAGGGGGUCGCGGCUGAUUAGCUAGUUGGCGGGGUAACGGCCCACCAAGGCGAAGAUCGGUAUCCGGCCUGAGAGGGCGCACGGACACACUGGAGCUGAAACACGGUCCAGACUCCUACGGGAGGCAGCAGUGGGGAAUUUUGCGCAAUGGGGGAAACCCUGACGCAGCAACGCCGCGUGGAGGAUGAAGCCCCUUGGGGCGUAAACUCCUUUCGACCAAGACGAUAAUGACGGUACUGGUGGAAGAAGCACCGGCUAACUCUGUGCCAGCAGCCGCGGUGAUACAGAGGGUGCGAGCGUUGUUCGGAAUUAUUGGGCGUAAAGGGCGCGUAGGCGGUGCCACAAGUCACUUGUGAAAUCCCCGGGCUUAACUCGGGGCCUGCAGGCGAAACUGUGGUGCUGGAGUAUGGGAGAGGUGCGUGGAAUUCCCGGUGUAGCGGUGAAAUGCGUAGAUAUCGGGAGGAACACCUGUGGCGAAAGCGGCGCACUGGACCAUAACUGACGCUGAGGCGCGAAAGCUAGGGGAGCAAACAGGAUUAGAUACCCUGGUAGUCCUAGCCCUAAACGAUGAUUGCUUGGUGUAGCAGGUACCCAAUCCUGCUGUGCCGCAGCUAACGCGAUAAGCAAUCCGCCUGGGGAGUACGGUCGCAAGGCUGAAACUCAAAGGA